UCCAUUGUUACCCCAACAAAUAAAAGAUACACAACAAUCUGCACUUUCAUGGAUAUAUCCACACUACUCUAAAAGGAAUCUGUAAACAUCAUGGAAGGUCGCAGUAACAGCUCCUGCAAUAAUCCUCCAGCUCAAGCUCAAGCGGUAUCGGAGUUGGAAACACUGCAGAAAGUGCAUGAGGAGAAAACACAAAAGAUCCAACACCUCAACACACAAAUCCAAGCUCUCAAGCUUCGCCUGCAAAUGAAGAAGAAGAAGAAUGAUAACCUGGAUGAGAAGAACCAAGCUUUCCAUAACCUCACCCACACAUACAACACCCUCAGAGAAGAAUAUAAUGCAUUGUUGGGGGAAAGGUCAAGGGAUCACAACCCUAACAAUUAAUUACAUACUCAUAGCUCUAACGUUUAGUGUAUCCUUUGUUUUCAAUGUAUUUAUAGUGUGUUUUUAAAGGCUACCC